rnacentral:rRNA from 1 species
AUUCCAGCUCCAAUAGCGUAUAUUAAAGUUGUUGCGGUUAAAAAGCUCGUAGUUGGAUCUGGGGUUCGGGUCGGCGGUUUGCCGCUUCGGCGGCUACUGCCGUGCUCGACUCUUACUAGCCGGUGCGCCUUGCGGUGCUCUUCAUCGAGUGCCGUAGGAGCCUGGCAUGUUUACUUUGAAAAAAUUAGAGUGCUCAAAGCAGGCGAUUCCGCCUGAAUAGUGUUGCAUGGAAUAAUGGAAUAGGACCUCGGUUCUAUUUUGUUGGUUUUCGGAACUUGAGGUAAUGAUUAAGAGGGACGGUCGGGGCAUUCGUAUUUCGGUGUUAGAGGUGAAAUUCUUGGAUCGCUGAAAGACGGACAAAUGCGAAAGCAUCUGCCAAGAACGUCUCCAUUAAUCAAGAUCGAAAGUCAGAGGUUCGAAGACGAUCAGACACCGUCCUAGUUCUGACCAUAAACGAUGCCAACUAGCGAUCCGCAGUGGUUGCUAUAAACGGACUCUGCGAGCAGCUUCCGGGAAACCAAAGUGUUUGGGUUCCGGGGGAAGUAUGGUUGCAAAGCUGAAACUUAAAGGAAUUGACGGAAGGGCGCCACCAGGAGUGGAGCCUGCGGCUUAAUUUGACCCAACACGGGGAAACUCACCCGGUCCGGACACUGUAAGGAUUGACAGAUCGAGAGCUCUUUCUUGAUUCGGUGGAUGGUGGUGCAUGGCCGUUCUUAGUUGGUGGAGUGAUUUGUCUGGUUAAUUCCGAUAACGAACGAGACUCUAGCCUGCUAACUAGUUGCGCCGUGUUCAUACGCGGCUGUAGACUUCUUAGAGGGACAGGUGGCGUUUAGCCACACGAAAUUGAGCAAUAACAGGUCUGUGAUGCCCUUAGAUGUCCGGGGCCGCACGCGCGCUACACUGAAGGAGUCAGCGUGUGCUAUCCGGGCUCGGAAGAGUUCGGUAACCCGUUGAGACUCCUUCGUGCUUGGGAUUGUGGCUUGUAAUUAUCGCGCAUGAACGAGGAAUUCCCAGUAAGUGCAAGUCAUCAGCUUGCGCUGACUACGUCCCUGCCCUUUGUACACACCGCCCGUCGCUACUACCGAUUGAAUGGUUUAGCAAGGUACUCGGAUUGGUCUCGAUCUUGUACGAAAGUGCGGGAUCUGUGGCCGAGAAGAAGGCCAAACUUGAUCAUUUAGAGGAAGUAAA